rnacentral:sRNA from 1 species
GUAAUAAGGUUUCCGUAGGUGAACCUGCGGAAGGAUCAUUAUCGAAGAGCAACUCUUCAUAUACACCUGUGAACCGUCGUCCUUUGGACGCUAUACAAACUCUAGUGUUGUCUUGAAUGUCUAGUUAUAUCAUAACAAAAAUAACUUUCAACAACGGAUCUCUUGGCUCUCGCAUCGAUGAAGAACGCAGCGAAAUGCGAUAAGUAAUGUGAAUUGCAGAAUAGUGAACCAUCGAAUCUUUGAACGCACCUUGCGCCGUAUGGCAUGCCAGUUUGAGAGCCACCUUAACCUCGCAGAUACAACUUGUUGUAUAGGCGGAUUUGAAUGUUGCCGGCUUGCCGGCUCGUUCUGAAUGCAUGAGCGGUUGAAGCUCGUAACAACGUGAUAAGUAUCUACGUUGUGAAAGGCCGAGAUUGCUUCAAAUCGUCCUCGGACAAUUCUAAUGCUAGGCAUCAAAUUGGUAGGAUUACCCGCUGAACUUAAGCAUAUCAAUAG